rnacentral:rRNA from 1 species
UACGGAGGGUGCAAGCGUUAUCCGGAUUCACUGGGUUUAAAGGGUGCGUAGGUGGGUUGGUAAGUCAGUGGUGAAAUCCCCGAGCUUAACUUGGGAACUGCCAUUGAUACUAUUAACCUUGAAUACCGUGGAGGUCAGCGGAAUAUGUCAUGUAGCGGUGAAAUGCUUAGAGAUCGGCAGGAACACCCAGGGGGAAACCAGUCGACUGGGCAUCUACUGACGCUGAGGUGCGAGAGCGUGGGGAGCGAACCGG